rnacentral:rRNA from 1 species
AUUGAACGCUGGCGGCAGGCCUAACACAUGCAAGUCGAGCGGAGCGGCGGCCGGGUGAGUAAUUCCUAGGAAUCUGCCUGGUAGUGGGGGAUACCGUCCGGCAACGGGCGCUAAUACCGCAUACUAUCAUAUGAGCCUAGGUCGGAUUAGCUAGUUGGUGGGGUAAAGGCCUACCAAGGCGACGAUCCGUAACUGGUCUGAGAGGAUGAUCAGUCCCACUGGAACUGAGACACGGGCCAGACUCCAACGGGAGGCAGCAGGGGGGAAUAUGGGACAAUGGGGGAAAGCCUGAUCCAGCCAGGCCGCGUGUGUGAAGAAGGUCGUCGGAUUGUAAAGCACUGGAAGUUGGGAGGCGGUACCAACAGAAUAAGCACCGGCUAACUUCGUGCCAGCAGCCGCGGUAAUAC